rnacentral:tRNA from 1 species
GGUUUGCUGGGCCGCACGGUCAACCGGACGUCGUUCGCGUCGACGUUCGACGGGACCCGGAAUGUCGACGCGGGUUGCGGCGCCCGCCCGAACUCCC